AAAGGAAUUGACGGGGGAGCGCACAACCGGUGGAGCAUGUGGUUUAAUUCGAUACAAAGCGAAAAACCUUACCCGGAUUUGACAUGUACCUGCACGGCUAUGGAAACAUAGCUUUCUUCGAGAGUGGUACACAGGUGAUGCAUGGCUGUCGUCAGCUCGUGUCGUGAGACGUCUACUUAAGUGUAGUAACGAGCGCAACCCUUGUUCUGUGUUAUAAGUGUCACAGAAGACUGCCCUUGUUAUACAAGGGAGGAAGGAGAGGAUGACGUCAAGUCAGCAUGUCCCUUACAUCCGGGGCAACACACAUCCUACAAUGGAGCCGACAACAGGUCGCGACGGGGUAACCCUGAGCCAAUCCUAUAAACGGCCCCUCAGUUCGGAUUGAGGGCUGCAAUUCGCCCUCAUGAAGCCGGAAUCGGUAGUAAUCGCAAAUCAGCAGGUUGCGGUGAAUACGUUCUCGCUCCUUGUACACACCGCCCGU
rnacentral:rRNA from 1 species